UAUGGAUGCUCAAAUGAGCGCAGCAUUGAAACCAGAUCCCGUGGAAUCACUUUUCACAGGUUUCCCAAAGACAGUAGUCUUAAAAGGGAAUGGGAACUGGCAGUGAAAAGGGAGGGUUUUGUGGCUACUGAGAGAUCCUUGCUCUGCAGUGAGCACUUUAAGGCAGAUGACUUUGACAGGACAGGGCAGAUUGUCCGCCUUAGACAUGGAGUCAAACCAUCUGUCUUUAACUUCCCAUCUCAUUUACAAAAGCAAGUACCAUCAAGAACCACACAAACUUCAAGGAAAGCUGAAGAGAGCCUGCCAGUGGCCUGCCAGCAUUUCCAUGAAGUUGACCCUCAGUCUAAUGUUGUAAGUAUUUGCAUGUAAUAUUUCUCAAACACAUGAGAACAUCAAGCCCCUGGUCGUAUUAAAACCUCUAUCGCAGUUGCUCUCUGC